rnacentral:rRNA from 1 species
GAUGAACGCUAGCUACAGGCUUAACACAUGCAAGUCGAGGGGAAACGGCAUUGAGUGCUUGCACUCUUUGGACGUCGACCGGCGCACGGGUGAGUAACGCGUAUCCAACCUUCCCAUUACUGUGGGAUAACCUGCCGAAAGGCAGACUAAUACCGCAUAGCCUUCGAUGACGGCAUCAGAUUUGAAGUAAAGAUUUAUCGGUAAUGGAUGGGGAUGCGUCUGAUUAGCUUGUUGGCGGGGUAACGGCCCACCAAGGCUACGAUCAGUAGGGGUUCUGAGAGGAAGGUCCCCCACAUGGGAACUGAGACACGGUCCAAACUCCUACGGGAGGCAGCAGUGAGGAAUAUUGGUCAAUGGACGGAAGUCUGAACCAGCCAAGUAGCGUGCAGGAUGACGGCCCUAUGGGUUGUAAACUGCUUUUGUAUGGGGAUAAAGUUAGGGACGUGUCCCUAUUUGCAGGUACCAGACGAAUAAGGACCGGCUAAUUCCGUG